rnacentral:misc_RNA from 1 species
GAUGAAGAACGCAGCGAAAUGCGAUAAGUAGUGUGAAUUGCAGAAUUCAGUGAAUCAUCGAAUCUUUGAACGCACAUUGCGCCCUUUGGUAUUCCUUAGGGCAUGCCUGUUCGAGCGUCAUUUAAACCUUCAAGCUAAGCUUGGUGUUGGGUGACUGUCCGCUUCACGGCGGACUCGCCUUAAAAUUAUUGGCGGCCGGUACAUUGGCUUCGAGCGCAGCAGAAACGCGAACUCGGGCCCGUCGUAUUGGCUCCCAGAAGCUAUCUUCACAAUUUUGACCUCGGAUCAGGUAGGGAUACCCGCUGAACUUAAGCAUAUCAAUAGCGGAGGA